rnacentral:rRNA from 1 species
UACAGAGGGUGCGAGCGUUAAUCGGAAUUACUGGGCGUAAAGCGCACGUAGGCGGCUUUGCAAGUUAGAGGUGAAAGCCCGGGGCUCAACUCCGGAAUUGCCUUUAAAACUGCAUCGCUAGAGUUGUGGAGAGGUAAGUGGAAUUCCGAGUGUAGAGGUGAAAUUCGUAGAUAUUCGGAAGAACACCAGUGGCGAAGGCGACUUACUGGACACAUACUGACGCUGAGGUGCGAAAGCGUGGGGAGCAAACAGG